UCUGGGCAAAGGCUCAGUCGUAUGGGUGGAGACGCUGUAGAGAGACUCUGGUUCCCAUUGUUACCUCCCAGCAGUUUGUCCCGUCAAAGCCCAAACUUGUUUACUUUUAUUUGUUUGUUUAUUUUGCAGGACCUCCUGGGGCUAGACGUGUUGUGUUACCUUCCACCACACCCACCACGCCUGGGGUUGAGGUGGGACUUGUUAGGUCUGUCUUGAGUUCCUCUGAAACCAGGCUGGGAGAGACACCUGGGUUCCGCGGUGGAGCCUGGGAGUAGAGACAUGCUUGGGGUUUCCUAACUUGACCUUCCCAGACAGAAAUAACUAUGAUUUUACAUAAGUGGCCAGUGUUCCAGAGAAAUCUCAUCCCCAGUGACCACUCAGCCCUCAGCCUUUGGUUCUUCAGCAGGCUCAACCUUACCAGCAAAUAACGAGGAAAACAAAAGCAGUGAAAUCCUUUCCUCUCCCCCAAGGAUCUCUUCUUGGUUUAGCUAAACUCACUUCUCUGGCUUCCUUGAAAAUGAUGAUAAAUGUUGUUUUGUGAAAUAAAAAAGAGAGGUGUGUUAAAUUUC